ACGAGACCUGUACGCCAGUAAAGCUGUUACCAAAACAACCCCGAAAAACAGUAUCUGUAUGUUCGGCAUAAGGCUCAGUGGUUCCAAGUCACUUGCUGGAGUCAAAUGCUAGUCAGAGACACGGACAAUAAUGGAAUAUAGGUCUUAAGCCUGCUGAAUUUUGUCUACCAUACUAUGCUGCUUCUAGUGACCCCCUGAGAUAUGACACACGUUCUUGGGAAUUCUCCAACAGUUUUCUCACGAUCCUUUCCCAAGUUCCUCACAAGCACGUCAUCCUUGCUUUCUGUCCGUUAUGGGGAUUCCUGCACCAGCUUCCCGCUACAGGAUGCCACGCACGUCAUGACACUGACCUCACCACCUACAGCUGUCGCAGUGUAAACCCACCGUGAGAAAUACGGCCUGAUUCUUUCACUAACUGGGACUUCUCCCCACUCUUCCUCCCCAAUAAUUAGCCGACUCCACAGUGGCAGGGACCUCCUGCCUCCCCAGAGCCUCUCAGCAAGACUACCUUGCCUACUGUCCUCACCGCAUCACGGUCGGGGACCAUCUUGAGCCACCUUGUGAAUAAACUCCUUCCCACCAGCUUUCUAAGUGGGGGUUUUCCACCCUGAGGGAGCAAGAAAGGACUGGUCACGACCUACUUUCCCUCUUCAUUUUCUUCCAUUCCUGCAGAGUGGGCUUUUAAGGAAGGCUCUUUGAACUUCAGACUCUGCAUCUGUGACAUGGAAGUUGUCACAGACCUGGUGGGAGUUUUAAGUGAGGCAGGAAAUAAGAAAUUACAUGGUACAGCCAAGAGCCAUAGUAGAGUCUCACUACUAUGUGUGGAAAGGGGACGGGAGUUUUGUGCCACUUAAUGGAAUGCUCCAUUUGGAAGUGACUGCUAUCUUCUGCACAAGCCACUAGGUGGCACUUUCAGCUAACUCCUGGGGCCACGGGCAGCUAAGCUCUGGGAAGGAAACUGAAAGAAGACUGUAGUUGGGGAAUUCUGAGCUAGGUAGCCACAUUCCACAAACUUAUUAAUUCACUCUCAUGGCAUCUACUAGACAGGCCUGACAGCUGCAGCGAAUCCUGAGAAACGACUGGGAAUAGCCCAGACAGAGGAGGUGGUGGAACUGAAGACAGGAGGUGAGGAAGCAGGAGGGGUGCAGGUGGGGUGAGCAGAGGGUUCCAGGCAGAAGAAAAACCAUGUGUGAAAACACAGGAAGGAGACUGCAGCCUGUUCAGGAAACUGAGCUGGUUACAAACGACAAGAAGGGGGUACACUGUGCAUGCAGGGCCGUGGUGGGAGACCAGGAGGCACGUCGGGAUGGAUUUGGGAACUAGAAUAACGGUGUUAAUGAGACUGGACGUUAUUGCUUGAUUUGAAAAUUGUUUUGAUAUAUGCAGCUGAUAUGGCUCUUCUUCCCAGAAAAAGGAAAUAAAAAAGCACAUGCAAACUUG
rnacentral:lncRNA from 1 species